AACGAACGCUGGCGGCAUGCCUAACACAUGCAAGUCGAACGAGACCUUCGGGUCUAGUGGCGCACGGGUGCGUAACGCGUGGGAACCUGCCCUUAGGUUCGGAAUAACUCCCCGAAAGGGGUGCUAAUACCGGAUAAUGUCUUCGGACCAAAGAUUUAUCGCCUUUGGAUGGGCCCGCGUUGGAUUAGCUAGUUGGUAGGGUAAAAGCCUACCAAGGCGACGAUCCAUAGCUGGUCUGAGAGGAUGAUCAGCCACACUGGGACUGAGACACGGCCCAGACUCCUACGGGAGGCAGCAGUGGGGAAUAUUGGACAAUGGGCGAAGGCCUGAUCCAGCAAUGCCGCGGGAGUGAUGAAGGCCUUAGGGUUGUAAAGCUCUUUUAGCCGGGAUGAUAAUGACAGUACCGGGAGAAUAAGCUCCGGCUAACUCCGUG
rnacentral:rRNA from 1 species